rnacentral:rRNA from 1 species
CAGUCGCCACGGUAAUACGAGGGGGGCAAGCGUUGUUCGGAAUUAUUGGGCGUAAAGGGUGCGUAGGCGGUUUGAUAAGUCAUCUGUGAAAUCUCUGGGCUCAACCCAGAGUCUGCAGGCGAAACUGUCGGGCUUGAGUGUGGAAGAGGUAAGUGGAAUUGCGAGUGUAGAGGUGAAAUUCGUAGAUAUUCGCAGGAACACCAGUGGCGAAGGCGGCUCACUGGUCCACAACUGACGCUGAGGUGCGAAAGCGUGGGGAGCAAACAGGAUUAGAUACCCCAGUAGUCCCUGUCUCUUAUAC